GGUCUGAUCAAAUUUCACAGUACAGUUAAAGAAACAUUGUUUUUUAUUUCAUAUUUUGAUGUCAUGCCAUGUCUCAUUUUAAAGGCUGCACCUUCUGAAGGCCACAUUUAUCACUCACAAACGUCAUUGAAACCGCCUCAUUUUGAAAAGUAAUCAUUACUUUCCAAAUUAAGUGAAAAAAUAUUUGUCUCGGGGAAUAACAGUUAAUUUUAUAAUUACUUUUCUUAAAUAACUCAUCCAUGUAGACAUAGAUGUAGCUGACAAAUGCGACCUCAUGAGGACGCAGCCCUUGAAAUGUGACAGCAGAACGGUUUGGGAACUGGCUAACAUUAAAAUCCAUUUGCAUUAACACAUAUAACUGAAACAGUUGUGAUAAUUCAUUUCUGUAACUUCAUUUUCAGUUACACAUAAUGAUAAUAAUAAUCAGAUGUCUCAGUCCAUGGCACUCAGCUGUGGUCUCUAAUGUUUUCUCCUGUGUCUUCACCACAGUUCUGACUGGCUUGUCUUCAGAUGCUAUGGAAUGGGCCUGGUAACUUGGUAACCGGUAACACUCAAGCCCCUCCUCUGGCCUCAUUUACAUAAUUUCUUUGUGUAGUCCAGGCACUGUUCCCUUCCCACUUUUCCAAGUAAUAAAAAGAGCGUAUGAAGUCUGACAGUCCAACACAUUAGCUCAUUGUUCCUGGUUGUAGCUUAGUUCUCUGCAUAAGCUACCACAUGAUGACUAUAAGCUAUUUCAGACCUCACAAUAGGCUUUCUACCCUCUGAAUUUACUACUCUGAAUGUUGAUUGCAAACCCAAUGAAAACGCACAAACUGAACGCAGUCAGACUUUUCUCUAUAAAGAGUUAAUUCUGAACUGUUAAACCUUAUAGAGGAAACUGAUGAUUGUUGAAACUCAAAAAUCUGUUUAGAACUAUCAGCCAUUGAUGUUAUAGGUGACCUGUCUGCUAUCUUUUAUCACCAACGGCCACUAUUGUGAGAAUAUUUGCUGGCAUUUUGUAACCAAUGUCCUGAUCUGAAUCUUGUUUCAGGUGGACAGAUGUGAGUAUCUGCUGAGUAAUUAACGCACACUUGGCUGUCUUCAGAUGAAACCAGGAGGGUUUGUUAUUGAUUAGAAGCCUUUGUUUCCUACAGCUGAACAAGCACAUUUAAUUAUUCAUUUGUUAUGUAUGUGAGAUUUUCUACACAUUAUUUUGUGCUGUUUUCAGUGUCCACAGAACAUCAUGGUUGCAUUGUAGGUAUCUAUUCAUCAGUGAUUAAACAUGAAAACAAUGCAGUGCAUCUCAUCUUGGCUCACAUUUCUGUAAGUACCAGCUCAUUUUUUAAGUCAAGCAUAUUUUGCAAGUAAUUUUGUUAAAAUAGUUUAGAAUCAAAUGUAUUUGAGGAAUGUCUUGGAAUGAUGCAUUAGAAAUGUAAAUAUACUGCUUACCAUUGUUGUGUGCUACAUGCAGUG
ensembl:lncRNA